rnacentral:tRNA from 1 species
GGGGGGUUAGCGCAGUUGGUAGCGCGUUGCGAUCGCACCGCAAAGGCCACCGGUUCGAACCCGGUACUCUCCA